UCUGAGACCGGCGCACGGGUGCGUAACGCGUAUGCAAUCUACCUUUCACAGAGGGAUAGCCCAGAGAAAUUUGGAUUAAUACCUCAUAGUAUAAUUGAGUGGUAUCACUUAAUUAUUAAAGAUUUAUCGGUGAAAGAUGAGCAUGCGUCCCAUUAGCUAGUUGGUAAGGUAACGGCUUACCAAGACAGCGAUGGGUAGGGGCCCUGAGAGGGGGAUCCCCCACACUGGUACUGAGACACGGACCAGACUCC
rnacentral:rRNA from 1 species